AAGUCGUAACAAGGUUUCCGUAGGUGAACCUGCGGAAGGAUCAUUACCGAGUGCGGGCCCUCUGGGUCCAACCUCCCAUCCGUGUCUAUCUGUACCCUGUUGCUUCGGCGUGGCCACGGCCCGCCGAAGACUAACAUUUGAACACUGUCUGAAGUUUGCAGUCUGAGUUUUUAGUUAAACAAUAAUUAAAACUUUCAACAACGGAUCUCUUGGUUCCGGCAUCGAUGAAGAACGCAGCGAAAUGCGAUAAUUAAUGUGAAUUGCAGAAUUCAGUGAAUCAUCGAGUCUUUGAACGCACAUUGCGCCCCCUGGUAUUCCGGGGGGCAUGCCUGUCCGAGCGUCAUUGCUGCCCUCAAGCACGGCUUGUGUGUUGGGCUUCCGUCCCUGGUAACGGGGACGGGCCCAAAAGGCAGUGGCGGCACCAUGUCUGGUCCUCGAGCGUAUGGGGCUUUGUCACCCGCUCCCGUAGGUCCAGCUGGCAGCUAGCCUCGCAACCAAUCUUUUUAACCAGGUUGACCUCGGAUCAGGUAGGGAUACCCGCUGAACUUAA
rnacentral:rRNA from 1 species